rnacentral:misc_RNA from 1 species
GUGAAUCAUCGAAUCUUUGAACGCACAUCGCGCCCUUUGGCAUUCCGAGGGGCACACCUGUUCGAGCGUCAUUACACCACUCAAGCCCGGCUUGGUAUUGGGCGUCGGGGCUCUCCCGCGCCUCGAUUUCACCGGCUGGACCGUCCGAAUCUCAGCGUUGUGGCUUUAUGUUCGCUGGCGAGGAGGACGGGCCGCGCCGUUAAAACUUUCGUCAAGGUUGACCUCGGAUCAGGUGGGGAUACCCGCUGAACUUAAGCAUAUCAAUAAGCGGAGGA